rnacentral:rRNA from 1 species
CCUACGGGGGGCAGCAGUGGGGAAUUUUGGACAAUGGGCGAAAGCCUGAUCCAGCCAUUCCGCGUGAGUGAAGAAGGCCUUCGGGUUGUAAAGCUCUUUCGGGGAACGUACGGUACCUGAAGAAGAAGCACCGGCUAACUACGUGCCAGCAGCCGCGGUAAUACGUAGGGUGCGAGCGUUAAUCGGAAUUACUGGGCGUAAAGCGUGCGCAGGCGGUUUUGUAAGACAGGUGUGAAAUCCCCGGGCUUAACCUGGGAACUGCGCUUGUGACUGCAAGACUUGAGUACGGCAGAGGGGGGUAGAAUUCCACGUGUAGCAGUGAAAUGCGUAGAGAUGUGGAGGAAUACCGAUGGCGAAGGCAGCCCCCUGGGUCGUCUGACGCUCAUGCACGAAAGCGUGGGGAGCAAACAGGAUUAGAUACCCUUGUAGUC